GACGAACGCUGGCGGCGUGCUUAACACAUGCAAGUCGAACGGAAAGGCCCUGCUUUUGUGGGGUGCUCGAGUGGCGAACGGGUGAGUAACACGUGAGUAACCUGCCCUUGACUUUGGGAUAACUUCAGGAAACUGGGGCUAAUACCGGAUAGGAGCUCCUGCUGCAUGGUGGGGGUUGGAAAGUUUCGGCGGUUGGGGAUGGACUCGCGGCUUAUCAGCUUGUUGGUGGGGUAGUGGCUUACCAAGGCUUUGACGGGAAGCCGGCCUGAGAGGGUGACCGGCCACAUUGGGACUGAGAUACGGCCCAGACUACUACGGGAGGCAGCAGUGGGGAAUAUUACACAAUGGGCGGAAGCCUGAUGCAGCAACGCCGCGUGCGGGAUGACGGCCUGCGGGUUGUAAACCGCUUUCGCCUGUGACGAAGCGUGAGUGACGGUAAUGGGUAAAGAAGCACCGGCUAACUACGUG
rnacentral:rRNA from 1 species